rnacentral:sRNA from 1 species
AUAACUUUAACGUAAAUGGAUGUGAAAAUAUUAGGUUAUUUGGUGGCGAAUUUAAUUAUAAUUUUCGUUGCUAAAUAGUAUCGCGCCAAUUUAUAUAUAUGUUUAAUCCACAGGGGCAUCUCUUCCUCGUCGGAGCAAAAUAAUAAUUUUAUCCGCUUUAAAUAUUUCCAUCGCGUUUGGGCCGCCUAUAUUAUAUAUGGAACAAACUAAAUAGGUAUUAUAUUAGAGUUUAAUAAUAUUAUAAAGGGAAGGAUAGUAAUCCACUGUUGAAAAUCUGCUUUUUCGCCGUUAUCCAGGUACGUUUCGUCUAUUUUUAAAACAGAGAUUUUUCGUCGGACAGUAGCGUGGAUUUUUGGAUUACGAAAUUGCUCCAAAAGGGACCAAAUCUUAUCACCAGUUAAUUUAAUAAUUUUAAACAAAAUCUCAAAUUCUCCGUCCUUUAUUAACUUUUUUACAGGUAUAUUAAUAUUAGCGGUUUAUAAACCAUAAAAUAUUUGUAAUUGUUUACCUUUUAAAGCCAUAGCGGUCAAAUUAUGGAAAAUUAGCUGAAACUGGUCGACAAGGUCGGGAGGGACGCUAAGAUUCCGCGCGAGACGCAAAACGUUCCCAUUCGGAUAACCUUGUUCCAAAUAAAUUGCCGAGGUUAUAUUUCCACCUAUUUUUAAAAUAAAGCAUAUUAGGGCAAAUAAAUUUAAGAAUUUUUUCCGAAGUUUUUCAAAUUUCCAAUUGCUGUUAUGCGGAUGCAAAUCCAAAUUAUAUAUUGUUGGCUGGCCCCGUAUAUAAUCGAUUAAAUAUAAUAAACAUAUAAUAAUAACAAAGCGUUUGUAAGCAACGCCAGUGAGCCAAUGCGUUUCCGACAUAUUUUAUAUUAUUAAUGGGUUUUGUAAAAGUUUCGCCGUUUUGUUAUUUAUAAAUCUUAUAUUUUCAAUAAUAAAUUUAAUUAUACGAAACCUUUUUUAAUAGCCUUAAAACGAUCUCAGGAUUAUAUUAAAUGCAAAUUGGGGGAAAUAGAACCUCAGAGGUUUUAAAAGUGCAAAAACGUUGUCCGUCGAUAUACAGGAGGCCGGACACCUUUAAUUGGACGACGGUGGAGGCCUUGGGUAUUUAAUCCAUUUGCACGCCACAGUUAAUAUUUGCAUAUAUAAUUAACUAAUAAAUUAAAAAUAAAAUAUAUUUUAAAAAUAGCAAUAACCAAUCCAAUAAUCCAAUUAAACAAGCAGAGAUUUAUAUAUAAUAUAUAUAAUCUUUAUAUACCCUUUAAACAUUUAUAUACGUUAUAUACCUGGCCCCAAAAGUUUGACGGUUAAUCGUUCCGCAAUUAUAAUUAGGGAAAACCUCCACCAUGUUUAAAAAUCGGCAAAUAUUAUCUAACCCUAUUUUAAAACUUUGCUAUUUUAACACCUAAACGACGGGUUAUAAUUGCGGAAUUUUCCCCCACCUUAUAUUGUUUCGAGAUGUUAAACCACUUUUUAUACCAUGGCUUUUAAAUUUGGGACAGAAUUUCGCACAGGAGCCAAAGACCCUCCCCUUUGGAAAAAUAAAAAUUAGAACGAAGGGCUAUUUGAAAACCAUAUUCGGAAAAAAAAAUAUUAGUUUUUGUCCAAUAUCGAAUUUUUUAAAGAGCCGAUUCCAGCGCCGUUAUUUACCGACAGUAUUUGGGGGGUUAACCCAGCAAUAUUUGACCGAAAUAAUUCCUCCACAUUAUCCCAAAAGGUUUGAACCGCUGGUAAAUUGCAACGAUUUUAUUAAAAUUUUAUAACCUUUAAUAAAAAAUCGGUGCAAACGGUAUUGGAAAAUAACGAAUUUAGGUUUAUUAAAAGGUAUUAUUAAUAGCCUGGUAAAGUUAAAUAAUUGUUUUUUCCUAUUUUAUUACAAAUUUUUUUAAUGUUUUGCUCCUGCUAAAAAUAUCUUUGGAAAACAACCAGUAAAACAAAAAAUUCGCCUUCGUUGCAACUGGAAAAAUUGCCGAUAUAACGCCGCAAUUUUAAAUGAGUUGGAAUAAGUUUAAUUCAAGUUAAUUCCUUUAAUUAUCUUACUUAUAAUAACCAUUGUUAUUUUCCUAAUUUAUUUGCCUGUUAUAUAAAACGUAUAUGUACUAAUAUCGAAAAUAUUCCAAAGGGGAUUAUUUAUGGGAAGGGACGGAAGAUGAAAAAGAAAAAAAACGUUAUAUUUGGAAAACUUAUAGGAUAUGGGCGGCCGAAAACAAAUAUUCUAAUAUAGGGGGAAAAUGUCCUAUAUAUGGCGCAAAAUUUGCGCGACAGGAUUAUAUAAUUUGUUAUUAAAGAAGAAAAUACGGCGGAUAAAGGGAAAUUUUAAUUAACCAGAUUAUAAUUUACGCUGUUAAUUUGGCUAGGCCUGGGGAAAUUACUAGACGUAUCUUUUUUAUAUAGGAAAGGCGCAAAUCGACGUUUGCGAACAGGCAAUAAUAUGGUAAGGGUAUGGAAAAGGGCGUUAUAAUUGCCCUUAUAUGUUUCUGUUUUUCCCACAAUAUAUAAUUAUAUAUUUUUAAAAAUAAUAUAUAUAGUUUAAUAUAUAGUGUGUUAUUAGCCAGCCAGUCGGAAUAAUAUUACCCCUUAUAUAAGAGGCCGUCCUUUCCUGGAGCUAAUAGUUUUUGGGCGGGUUUAUUUGCGAAGCGACAGGGGGUAAUAUAGCGUAUUAAUCGAUACCUCGUCAGCUCGCCUAUGGGCGCAUAAUUUCUGCAAUAUUGCUAUUUGAUUAUAUUAUACGGCCAUUCCAGCCCGUUUUCAACCACAAAUUACUGCGCCCGCUUUUGGUUAUAUAUGUGGAAAGUUAACCGUAUAUAUUUCAAAGCUUUUUCGUAAUAAUAUAAAUAAUACCCACCAAAAUUAUUAUUUGUAAAAUAUAAUAAUAGGAAAGCAGCAGGUCCUUUAUAUAAACCUAAUAAUUUCUAUAAAUGCAACCGUAGGUUUCCGACAUAUUUGACAAAUAAACAUCUUGGUUAAUAACCCGCAACAGAGCACUUUCCCUAACCUCUGCAUAUAAGGGGCCUUUUAUAUAAUAAUAGCAUGUUUAAUUAAGGAAGAAUAAUUUUUAUUUUACUAAUAGCGCGCUGUUUGGGCUGUAAGCAAUUAAUAAAGUGCAACUGUCUCCCUUUCGGCAUUGUUUUUAAUUGCUGGUUGGCCGUAUUUUAACGUGGCUUUUGCUGGAUAUUAAUAUGGUUAACGUGGUUUACCUCCACAUUUACGAAAAUAAAGGUAAUUAAUAAUAACGAAUAAUAAUUUAACAGCCUUGCGAAUGGGCGAUCCAGUUAUAAACUAACAUUUAAAAUAUAAGAGGUUUUGUUAAUAAGGUUAAAAUCGAGGUAUUUGCCAAAAUUAUAUAGGAUAUAAGAUUCCAAAACUCGUAUUUUUGGAAGAUGUUGGGGGUAGUUAACCGUACUGGGUUUGUUUAUAUAAUUUUUCAGGUGGUUAUAAUACGUCCAUAUAGCCCUUAAGAUAUAUAAACUAUUCUGCGCCAUUUACCCCUAUUCCACUUAGAACCGCGUCCAUUACGAUGCAGGAGGCCCUCCAUUACCGGGCAUAUUAUUUAUUACCCAGCAAAAUGCGGGUCCGGACGGUAUUGUCCAAUUUGGUACCACCCGCUGGGCAUAACAGCCAUAUAUUUUUGCGUGUGGAAAAAAUUUACGUUAAACAGGGUUUAUUGCCGAACUAAUUAAUUGCGGCACCGUUUAAAUAGGGUAAAAGCUUUUUCGACUGGUUAAUCGAAUGGGCAGCGAAGAUUUAACUUUCUUUUUCAAUAUACGGUACGAAAGCGUCGCCGCCCAAACGUAGCAAAAAAAUAAUGGUGGUGGAACUCGGUUUGUAACGCCAUUUAAUCCUUAUAUAUUAUCUGUCUUCUUUAUGGCCGACAUUAUAAUUGACGUAAA